CUGUGGCUGCUUGCUGGCUUUCUAAGUCGGCUCAGCUGAAAUAUACGAGCGACCGCCUGAAUAAUAAACGGCUUGUACUCGGCGUAAUAACUAUUUCGCUGAGGACGUUUUCCAUUCUACUGGUGCUUCUAAUGCGGUUAUUAAAUUAACCACCUUAAGCUUUAGACCUCAAAUCAGUCAGGACUACCCGCUGAACUUAA
rnacentral:misc_RNA from 1 species